GACGAACGCUGGCGGCGUGCUUAACACAUGCAAGUCGAGCGGAAAGGCCACUUCGGUGGUACUCGAGCGGCGAACGGGUGAGUAACACGUGAGUAAUCUGCCCCUGGCUUUGGGAUAGCCACCGGAAACGGUGAUUAAUACCGGAUACGACCACUUCUCGCAUGGGAUGGUGGUGGAAAGUUUUUUCGGCCAGGGAUGUGCUCGCGGCCUAUCAGCUUGAUGGUGAGGUAAUGGCUCACCAUGGCUUCGACGGGUAGCCGGCCUGAGAGGGUGAACGGACACAGUGGGACUGAGACGCGGCCCAGACUCCUACGGGAGGCAGCAGUGGGGAAUAUUGGACAAUGGGCGGAAGCCUGAUCCAGCAACGCCGCGUGAGGGAUGACGGCCUUCGGGUUGUAAACCUCUUUCAGCAGGGACGAAGCGCAAGUGACGGUACCUGCAGAAGAAGCACCGGCCAACUACGUGCCAGCCGCCGCGAAAA
rnacentral:rRNA from 1 species